AUCCUUGAUCUUCUGGAAUGGAGGGGGUAGAGCGGAGAGACAGAUCAACUGCUGCCUUUCAAAGGGAAAACACAACAUUGUCAGCUUCCUUGAGGCGGGGCAAGAGCUAUUCCACAGCUGACAGUUCGUCACCAACACCAUGUGAUUCCUCUACUUUCUACAUAGGAAGGUCUGAGUUAAACAUCAGCAUCACUCCUCUGCAUUGCUGAUGUUAAGUUAACAAGGCAAAGAUGCACCCCGAUAAAGUGUCACUUGCAGCAAGCUGCACAUGGUGGGUCUUCUGAUGUGGGUGCAGAUUGGUUUCUGCUCAAGAAUCUGUGCCAGCAGGCAGUGAUGCUGUGAGACUGCAGUUCUCAGGUGAGCCCAAGUCCCUUGGAUGGAGAACUACAGGAAGCCCAUGCAUGGUUCUUGAGAGGAUGAUGAGCACCCGGAGAGUCCAUGACACUGCUUAACCCCAUGCUUUGCUGCCUACAUCAGUUUAUAAAAUGCCUUUGCACUCGAUACUGAGGAGUGGUCUGACUGGCAUCCCGGAUAUUAUGUUUCUGUGCCCUCCUGCAUUCUGCUUCCAGCUGCAAACAAGUGUACUUAAAGGAAAUCAGUGAGUGGAAGAGAGACUAUGUGAUUGAACAACCCUCGGUUCCUUACGAACCCAAGUUAACACACACCUCUCUCUUUUUUGAGUUUGUCUCUCUCUGCACUGGUGCAUGAUUCCUAUUUUCUCCACUUGCACACUGACUGCCUUGCACCAGUAAAGAUUGUUCUGCCUUGCUCUAUUGUACUCCAUGUUAUGGAAAAGCUAAAUCAUGAUCAUUAAUUGGAGCAUCAAGUCACUAUCAAACACAUAUACACGUAUACCAUUCUAAACAGCCAUUUAGAGAAAAGGCGGCAACGGUUCUUUGAAAUCUCUAGCAAAGUUUGCCUUGCUUCUCAUCCCUCAAUAUUAGGACCUAUUAGCACCCUGAAUCAUUGCAGAAACAUCUGUGAAGUGCAGCCCAGCAAGCCAAGUUUGCAGUAGCUGGAAGGAUUCAUUCUCAUGCAAUAUAAGUUGCAGUCUUUGAUAUCCAAGUUCCCUGGUGUUGCUACCACUUGAUCAAAUGAGUCUGAAGCAGAAUUUCUACAAAAUACGCAAGGGCAGUGGUAGAAGAAAGCCGAUAGGAUUCCAAAUACAGCUUUUUAGAUGCAAAGCUGAAGUUCCUACCUUAAAUCUGUAAUGACCAAGGUGGUGUUUUGGAUUUUUUUUGCUUCAGUGCUACAUAAAUGCUGAAGUUACAAUUUUGCAGAGAUAAAUGUGUUACACCAAGGCCUGCAUCCUACUGUUAUUUAUAUUAGAAUUCCGAGGACAACACUACAAAUGAACUUGGUGAAAGAGUUUGUUUCAGAUACCUACAAAAGAUAUUUUCAUCUUAGCAAGAAAAUAUUUUAACUGUUUAAACUGUAAGCAGCUCUUACGGUGUGUGAGGCUGCUUUUCCCUAAAUGUGCUGUUGCAGAUCAUGCCAGUAAAUAAGAAGUCUAUUCUUUUUUUUUUUAAUUAUUAUUAAUUUUUUUAUUCUGAGAGGAAAAAAAGAGAUUGGAACAUAAUUUUUUAAAUUAUUUUGUCUUACUUUCAGUACUUAUAUUGCACAGUUAGUUUUAACAGCUCAUUCACACUGAAUUUCAGAACCCAAGGGAGGAACCAUUAAAUCACAAUAAAGUAUUUAAUGGAGUUGUGCAAUCUGCAUUUCAGAGACUUAACUGCAAACUGAGCCAAAGAUCUUGUGAUUUCAGAAUAAGAGAAUCUUAUUAGAGCCCAGAGACUUUUGACACCUGGUCUCUCAUGGUGGAGUGCAUUUCAAAUCAACAUUACAUACACUUAAUAGAUUUCAAUUACUGGGUUUGUGUGAAACAAGAAGACAACUAACCAAAACUUUUCUUUCAUCUUCUGAUGAGCUGGCAGUUUAUCAUGACAUUUUGUAAAUCAUUCAGGUUGGAAUUUGACAAUGUGAGAGAUUUUAGGAAUACUUUUAUGCCACUGCAGUGAACCGACAGAGCCAUCCUGUCUCGAUGUAUGACAACUUUUCCUUGUCAUAUAAAAUUAUUUUUAAGUGUUCUUGGUUUUAUGUGUUUGGGUUUUUUUAAUAGUUUUUGGUUGUUUGGUUUGGUUUGGUUUGGUUUGGUUUCUUGAGGGAUGACCUAGAGAUGUGUGUUAGAAAUUUAUAUUCAUCACAAAAAGAAAAGAAAAAAAAAAGUUGAUGAAAGGAGAUGUGCUAGUUCCAGUUAAAUUUCUGAAAGGUAAUAUUUUUCAUGACUGGUAGAACAUUUUUGUGCAAGAUGGAAAAGGGCAUACUCAUCUAAAGAAGACACAAGAUCCUCUUUUCUUUUCAGAUUGUUAGUGGUACAGCAGCCAGAAAACUUGCCUGACACAAAAUGCUGAGAUUCCUACCUGUACUCUGAUUCAGGCAAUACAGCUGCUUUGUCUGGCUUUCUGGAAUUUCAAUUAACUAUCCUGAUUAUUUCUUUUCCCUCAGGGACUCCACUUUUCCAAUGAGUACUCUGGUUCUCAUGAUAAUUUUGAGAAAUCUUCAUUUUGUCUUAUUUGAUUUUAUCUCUAUUGACAGUCAAAACAUAUUUUCCAGACAGCUGUUGUAGAGGCUGGGGUUUGAGGCUGCACUGCAUUAGAGGAUCUGCCAAGGUGCAGCAGCAACAGCCUCUUCCCUUGAGGACUCCCACCUUAAAAUUACAGCCAAAAAGACAAAGCCCAGGAGAGAAACAAAGUGAAUGGGCAGAAGAAUAAGUAAACUAACAAAAUAUUUUAUGAUAAAAUAAGAUCUAUCCAUGCAAUUCUUUUUCUGUUUGUGGUAUUAAUUGUAUCAGCCAUUGGUAUCAGUAAAGAAAUCAUCUGGAGAUGACUUCAGUUGUCCAAGUUAAAAGCUCCUUCAGCCCUCAGACUGACAUCUGUAUCCUCACAGGAACCUCUUAAGGAUUGUGCAGGUCCCAGAGCACCAGCCAUGUUGUCUCUUUUGAGUUCAAUAUCAGUACAUCUCUCCCUGCAGCAGGAGGUUGCUGCAGUACUGUUUUACCCCACUAGCAGUCAAUUUUAAUAAUAGUAAUAGUAAUGGUAAUGGUAAUAAUAAUUCCUCUAAUGAAAAUAAAGAGAAACUCAGAAAGCAAAAAUAUAUUUAAGUAUAGGCAUGUAGAACAAACAAUGUUUAUGUCAUCACUGGAUGGGCACAUUGACUGUACUAUUCAACAGAAUUUAUAAUGCUUUAUGACUACAUGUUUCUAAUAUUAUGGAUAAAUCUUCAUAACAUUAAAAUAUAUAAAUAUUUCUCAUAAA